GUGUAUGGGUAUCUGGAUGCUUCAGAAUGGUCCAGUUUUCCACCACAUGCAAGAGAGUUAAAGGCUCUCCAGUGCUUUGACGUGGUUCCCUUUCCCAAGCCUUUGUCCCCUAGGAGUUAUCUCCAUCCUCCCCUUCAAGCAGCCACCCCAUUCUCCAUUCCAAGAGCUUCUACAACAACCAACCCACUUCUCACCCUGGUCUAUUUCACACACACCACAAAAGAUCAACCUUCCCCUCGCAGUGGUCUCCAGCAUCAGUUGCCAAAUUCCUCCUCUUGCACCUUUCAUGGAGAUGUGGUUUCAUGCCACAGGAAGGAAGAGGCAGCAGUUAGUAAAAGAAGGCUACAGCCUCUUUGGAAGAGGAGAGUUAGAUGAUGGCAUAAGGGACAAGCCCCUCUAGACAGCUAUCUUUUGCACUAUUCAGGUGUUGCACCAGCUCACAGCCAACAACACACACAGCAACUUAGGACUGGGCACAAAGAAGAGCAGAGGAGGUACAACAGGGCAAACCCAUCCCUGGAGGUGUUCAAGGCCGGGCUGGAUGGGUCUUUGAGCAACCUGGUCUCAUGGAAGGUGUCCCUGUCCAGGACAAGGUGGUUGGAACUUGAUGAUUUUUAAGAUCCCUUCCAACCCAAACCAUUCUAUGAUUCUAUGAAACAGGCUUUGGCAGGCCUUGCUGCUGAGACCCGAAGUAUGUUACAGAAACCCCACUUUAGAGCCUACAGGUUGUAUACUUUAAAAGUUUAACUGUGCAAAACAUAGUCACUCAUUCCUACCAGGGCCAGAAGUAGACAGCAGGUCAAAGCAACCAUCCAUAGGGAAGAAGCUGUAAAUAAAGGACUUGGUCCAAUCUUGGCUCUGUUUGAUUUGAAUAGCUAUUGCUACUUACGAAGUCAAAAAUACAACAAACUCCAAAUAACCAUCUCAUUAUUCUGCUGUUUCUACUUGGGGUAGUAAAGUGCCUCUACAUCUCCCCUGGCAGUGAACGGGAAAACAAAGCAGAAAAUUUUAUGGCAUUCAAAUGGAAAUGUACCUUUGUCAAGAAGAGGAGCUACGGACAGGAGUGAAGCUGUGAAGGUAGGGAGAGGUGAUUUUUCAUUCUAUCAAACUAACUAAACUUAGCAAAUAGAGAUUAAAUACAUUCAGAGAACAGCUCCUCUGAGCUCAACCUGAUGACACUCUUCAGGCAGGUGACACCUCCACCAUCUUUCUGCAGGAGCUGUCUCCUAACUUCAGUCUUUGGUCUACUCUUCAGAGUCUCUCCAUAAAUCAGCAAACCCAUUGAGCCUCUUGGGAAGUCCUUGAUGGUCCCCUGACCUUAAUGCCCCUUCUUCUUCACAUCAUUCCUCCGGUACAGAACCACUCCUGGUCAUGUCCUUCCCUUCUUCUGCCCCAACAGACCUCAUCAUACACCCACUCCCUGACCUGGGAUGCCAACAGAGGCCUCCCAACAGCAGCCAAGGAGGCAGAGCACUGGCCUUGUCUCAACUUGCCAUGACAAAUCACCACAAUUCAGACACAGAACAGCACGAGGGCUUUGCCCACUGCCUCUAAUCUCAUCCCUGACACGCACUUGUCUCCUCUCAGAUUACACUGUGUGGGGUACACUGUGCUGCAAAUGUGCUUUUAUCUACAAGUGGUUCCUCUCACGCCAUCUCACCCUGGAGCCUCACAGGGACCGGCAUUUUCAUUGCUUAUUUUCUCUCCUUCUUUCAUGGGUUUUCCAUCUUUUCCAUCUUCUUGGAAGUUAUGGCCUGCAUUGGUCAUCCCCAAGACUGAUGUCCUCCAAAGAUGCCCUUUGAUUUCACGUGCCCAAUGUACGACAGAUAACAUGGUCCAAAUGUCUCCAGGGGCUCCAGCCUGGAGCUGCAGGACUUGAGGCCAGAGAGUAGAAACAAGGCUAAAGUAUAGGCUAAAGAUCCCUCUAUGAGAAGGGGACAGAGACAGGUCUUCAGAGAGCCACCAGGCUCAGGCAAAGCCUGGUUGCUCAAGUCUGACAGUAACUGGAGCCCCUGGUUCCACAGGCAGGGGAUGAAAGAGUGGGAUCAGGGCAAACAAGGCCUUCUGUUGCAUUUGGGACCCUGGAAGAGAGAAUGAGUGCUUCCCAGGGACACUUUAGUGUGCUAUGCUGUUCCAUCAUGCUUCAUGAGAUGAAGUCCCUUUAUUACCCUCUCCCACACUUUUGGGUCUCUAAGAUGCAGCUCAUCAUUGUUCUUCCAUGACAGCGUGUGAAUUUCUAUCUUUGCCUCCUCUGUGGAAAACAUUUCCCAACAUCGUCCCUCACCGACACGGUGCUCCUCUCUCCUCCUUAGCCUCCAAGCAGAAGAUCUUACUUACCCUUGGCUCUGUAGGCGUUGUCUCCUAUGGUUUUGGAGCUAUUGCUCAGUUACAUGCACCACAUUCCAGGUUCUGCUAAGUGUUUCAAAGAAGCCUUCCUAUCAGGUAGAGCCCCCAGGGAGAGCAGGGGGAAGUCUCUGACCACUAUACAAACAGCAAACAGAAGAAGCCCCUCGCAUGGCGGCACAACACUGGAGGACAUCCUGGAGAGCUGGAAGGGCUGACGUGACUAGCGCCUGCUGACAAGAUCUCUGUCCAUGGGACAUGUGAGGGGAAGCCGUCACUGAUGUGAUGAGAUUGUGAGAGGAGUCUCCUGAUCACAAAACAUGAUCGCUGGGCACAGAUUUGCUCAUCAGGCACGGUGAAGGAGGACGAAGCAGAGCGGGUGGUCCUGACAGCCAUCAACACCCUCUUUCUCCUUGAAGCCUGGAGGCUCCCUGUGCUGGAGCUCCUGCAGCAGCACUGUUCCCAGCAGCACCAGGAGGAGGUUGUAGAAGAGGGAGAAGGUGGCCGGAGCUGGGUCAUUCACCAUGGUUGAGACCAACACAACAAAUCUCUCACUGAACCACAUGGAUUCUGGAUAUGACUACACUGAGCAAGACUUGCAAUAUUGGUGCAUAAGAGAUAAUUAUAAUAUAUUGAUAAUUUCAGGUGUUUUUAUUGUUGUUUGCCUGUGUGGACUUGCGGGGAAUAUGGUGGUUGUGUGGUUCCUGGGCUUCCACAUGAAGAAGAACCCCUUCACUGUCUAUGUCCUGAACCUGGCCAUCGCUGACUCCUCUCUGCUCCUCUUCAUUCUUGGGAUACUUAUGUUAUCUAUUCUUACAAUAGUAAAAUGUUAUAAGUGGUAUGAAUAUGAGCGGCCCAGAAAUAUCCUGAUGCUUGUGUUUCUGUAUUGGUAUUUGGUCAGCAUGUAUCUCCUGACAGCAAUGAGCAUGGAGAGGUGCCUCUCUGUUUUAUUCCCAAUCUGGUAUCGGUGUCAUCGCCCAAAGCACUUAUCAGGCAUCGUGUGUGGGGUGCUCUGGGCUGUCACUGGACUAUUUCUUGCUUUGGCUUUGAUUAGUUGUACUUUAUUUCAUUAUACCAAGUGUGAAAUUGUAAAUAUGGGUUUAAAUAUUGUAAAUUUUCUCAUUUUCUGUUUCGUCCCACUCCUUUCCAACCUUUCCCUCUUCAUCAGACUCCGUUGUGGCUCACAGAGACGACACCCAGGAAAGCUCUAUGUUGCUGUCCUCCUCAGUGUGAUGUUCAUGUUCAUCUUUGGCCUGCCUCUCAUCAUAUUGAUUUUGCUUCAUAACCUGGUUAGAUCCCUAUAUAUAAUUUAUAUUGGUUACCUGCUGGCAUCACUGAACAGCAGCAUCAACCCAGUCAUUUACUUCCUGGUGGGGAGCUGCCGGAAACGCCGGUUCCAGAGCUCCAUGAAAGCCGCCCUACGACGAGUGUUUGAAGAGAAAGUGACAAGUGAGGAGGAGAGCCGUGCACCUGAGGACACUAUGAUGGAGACCACUGUAUAAGACACUGCUGGUGAGAAGCCCUGGAGAUGCGGCCCCUCGCAGACAGCCAGAAGGAGGUGGAGGCGUGGGGACACGUAGCACACAGCCAGCGCUGCACUGCUCAGCCGGGAUCCGUCCCUCUGCCCGCCCUGCUUUCCCCUUGCCAUGAUCCUCAUUGCUCUGG